GACGAACGCUGGCGGCGUGCCUAAUACAUGCAAGUAGAACGCUGAAGAGAGGAGCUUACUCUUCUUGGAUGAGUUGCGAACGGGUGAGUAACGCGUAGGUAACCUGCCUUGUAGCGGGGGAUAACUAUUGGAAACGAUAGCUAAUACCGCAUAACAAUGGAUGACACAUGUCAUUUAUUUGAAAGGGGCAAUUGCUCCACUACAAGAUGGACCUGCGUUGUAUUAGCUAGUAGGUGAGGUAAUGGCUCACCUAGGCGACGAUACAUAGCCGACCUGAGAGGGUGAUCGGCCACACUGGGACUGAGACACGGCCCAGACUCCUACGGGAGGCAGCAGUAGGGAAUCUUCGGCAAUGGGGCAACCCUGACCGAGCAACGCCGCGUGAGUGAAGAAGGUUUUCGGAUCGUAAAGCUCUGUUGUAAGUCAAGAACGGGUGUGAGAGUGGAAAGUUCACACUGUGACGGUAGCUUACCAGAAAGAGACGGCUAACUACGUG
rnacentral:rRNA from 1 species